rnacentral:rRNA from 1 species
UCCGUAAGGAAGUAAGAUCCCUGAAAGAUGAUCAGGUUGAUAGGUCUGAGGUGGAAGUGUGGCGACACAUGGAGCUGACAGAUACUAAUCGAUCGAGGACUUAACCA